rnacentral:rRNA from 1 species
CAGUAGCCGCUGUAAUACAGAGGGUGCGAGCGUUAAUCGGAUUUACUGGGCGUAAAGCGUGCGUAGGCGGCUUCUUAAGUCGGAUGUGAAAUCCCUGAGCUUAACUUAGGAAUUGCAUUCGAUACUGGGAAGCUAGAGUAUGGGAGAGGAUGGUAGAAUUCCAGGUGUAGCGGUGAAAUGCGUAGAGAUCUGGAGGAAUACCGAUGGCGAAGGCAGCCAUCUGGCCUAAUACUGACGCUGAGGUACGAAAGCAUGGGGAGCAAACAGGAUUAGAUACCCCUGUAGUCCCUGUCUCUUAUAC